GAGUAAUACAUCGGAACGUAUCUUGAAGUGGGGGAUAACGCAUCGAAAGAUGUGCUAAUACCGCAUAUUCUCCAAGGAGGAAAGCGGGGGAUCGAAAGACCUUGUGCUUUUAGAGCGGCCGAUGCCUGAUUAGCUAGUUGGUGNGGUAAAGGCCUACCAAGGCAACNAUCAGUAGCUGGUCUGAGAGUUGGUGNGGUAAAGGCCUACCAAGGCAACNAUCAGUAGCUGGUCUGAGAGGACGACCANCCACACUGGNACUGAGACACNNCCCAGACUCCUAC
rnacentral:rRNA from 1 species